rnacentral:tRNA from 2 species
UCCCCGGUAGCUCAAUGGUAGAGCGGGUGGCUGUUAACCACUAGGUUGUAGGUUCGAGUCCUGCCCGGGGAGCCA